UUGAGCUGGACCAUCUUGAAUUGUACCCAAUCUCCUCUGAUCUUGGAAGCAAAGCAGUGUCCUGCCUGCUUAAC
rnacentral:rRNA from 1 species